rnacentral:ncRNA from 1 species
GAAUUGAUGGAAGGGCACCACUAAGAUUGGAUCCUGCGGAUUAAUUUGUCUGAAUGUGGGAAACCUCACCCAGCCCAGGCAGAGAAAGAAGUGACAGAUGGAGAACUCUUUCUCUGGUGAAUUCUGAUAACGAACGAGACUCUGGCAUGCUAACUAUUUACAUGGCCCAGUGCGAUUGGCGUCCAACUUUUUAGAGGGACAAGUGGCGUUGAGCCACAUGGGAUUGAGCAAUAACAGGUCUAUGAUGCCUAUUGAUGUCCUGGACUACACAUACACUGAGUGAAUCAGUUUGUGUCUAGCCUUCACUGAGAGGUGUGGGUAACCCACUGAACCCCAUCCGUGAUAAGGAUUGUGGAUUGCAAUUUUCUAUUAUCUACUAAACGUCCCUUCCCUUUGCACG